UGAGUCGUCCCCUCCACCCCGAUGCCGUCCAUCUCUCUCACUUCUCUCUCUCCCGUUCCCUUUUUUCGCCGCCGCCUUCGUCGGCCGGUUCCGGCGAACGCUGGCGGUCUCCGCCGUCGGUGGCUACCAAUCUCUUCCUCUCCUCGCGCUCUAUAUGAUCCACCGCAUCGAUUCAUCGAUCCCAUCCUCAUGUGGUUGCCCGCAUCGGAUUUACCCGUCUAGGGUUUCGGUGCGGUCGACUUCCUCAUCGCCGGCGAUGCUCCGGCGCCUUGGUCCGGUCGUCUUUGUCUUCUGUCGUGCUCUCUCGUGCUGCUCUGCUUCCUAACAGCGCUCCCGUGCCUCAGAUGCACGCCAGGGCGGCACGGUGAGCAGGUGGGAGGAGAAGGCGGCGGCGAUUUCGAUCUAUUGUUCUGCGUUGACACGGGAGGCGGUAGAGCGGUCUGGACGAGAUUCCUGGUGCCGGUUUCCUCACCAUGCUGAGGCCACCUGCAUCGAGCAAUGGUUGAUGCCAAGGCUUUAAGGACCUGUUCGGGUUCUCUCCGCUCCACAACUACGGCUCCCAGAGCGGAGGGAGGGGCAGCACAAAUCAGGGAGUGGCUCAAACCGAGGUCCUCGUCUCCUCUACAGCUCGGAGCGGAGUUUUGAGAUUGGAGAGGUUGCGAACAGGCUCUAAGAAUGGACUGCAGCUCUGACCCAAGCAGCGUGAAGCUCCUGAGUUGCAUAUAGCAGAUCUCAAGAGAGAUAAUGAGCGUUUAAGAAGGUUGCACACGGAAACCUUAUUCAAAUUCACCAACCAGGAGCAUAAAGGGACAUCAAAUAACUUACGCACGACUAUGAAAUGCACUGAAACUCCCUGGAGAGCAAGCUCCGCUGCACUCUUGUCCAGCAAGGCACCGAUGAAGGAUUCUGUUUUUGGGAGACCUGAUUAUGGGGCCAACACGGUCAUGCAAAUUUUUUUGGCAGCAGAAGGUAAUCUAAUAUCAGGAAGGGGCAUCUCACAAUACUGCAGCUAUUAAAAAGAAUCCAAAACAGAGGCGUCUAGGAGAACGAGCUUUGUUGCUGUUCAUCUCCCAGGAUGGUUAUUGCCAAUUACCAGAACCAUGUCAAGCACAAUAAACUGAGGUCCUUUCAUACUACAUGCCUUCUAUUUCAUUUCUGCAUAUUUGAGAGAGGUGGGCAACUCUCCCUGAGCUGCAUGCUAUAUGGCUGGAAGCCAGAGCUCGGGCCCGACGCCUCCGCUCGCCGUUUCCCACGCCUCCGGCGCCCCUGGUGAUUUCCGUGUGGAUCAGGUCUUCAGGGUGCCAAUAUUUUCGGACGUAGUUGGGCCAGCAAGCUCAGAUCUGAAGGAGAGAAUUGACAUGGGUAGCCGACGAGAGGGCAAGAUUCGUACGUGGCGGUGAAUUUAGAUGGCGGCGGCACCAGUGCGGACGAUGCCAAUAGCAAGGACAGCGAGCCGGCGUAGUCCGAAUAGUGUGGAGUGAAUUGAAGCCGGAUCCGCAAGCAUCCGAGUGGAUUAAAGCGGGGGGUGGAGGUGAUGCGAUCUACUCGGGAAUAAGUGAAUGAUAUCAUUAUGAUGCCAAAUUAGUCCGCAAAUACUGCUGCUUCUAGAAUCUGAAUGUACCCGCUAUGCAUGUUGCAGGCAAUGAACUAUUUUACAAGAUAAAAUAUCAGGAAGGGGCAUCUCAUAAUACUGCAGCUAUUAAAAAGAAUCCAAAUGAGCCCGCGUCACCAUCGUCGUCCAGAGACAGGUCGGCAGGGGAGGCUAUGAGGAAUUGGGUACAUCCAAACUUCCCCUGUGAUAUCUUUAUUUUAUUCCUCAGUUUAAGGUCUCUGUUAGUGGAAUAUAUUUUCUUGCAAACUGAAUUGGUUUUCUGGAACAUGUCUUCGUAUUUUUGUGUAUGUCUUGAGCACUAUUCAUUGGAUAUACUUUGUUGCUUCCAGCCCAUGGAUAAGAAUAUUUCAGUCGCUGAAGAGAUUGUUGAACAUAUGACAUUGAUGCAAAUCUCUGGCCACCUACAAGUGAAACUGCUUGAAGACCAAGUUCGAAUAUGUAUGAGCGCAGUGAAGUUCGGCAUGCAAGUCUAUUCGCAGUCUCGCACCCUAAUGUAAUCAGUCGAGUAGUGACGGGAAGGCGCCGCCGACCAGGGUGUGGAGGAAGAUGGGGUUGAGCCGGGUUGGUGAAGGUGUUGUGGCUGGUCGUUGGCCAAGCAGCCGCCUCUCCCUCGUCUUUGACAUCGUGAAGAAUGAUGUUGAAAUGGAUGCGUGCUGCAGGAGCAGCAGAGGCGUCGUGUGAGCCUUGGGUUCUUCAUCAAUUCGUUCGUGCGUUCCCUUGGUCGCAUGCGCGCCUCAGGUACAACUUGCCUCUCGUCUCUCCUCCCUGUUAUGGAUCCAACAUGAGGAUAAAUUGUUGGGGCAGUAGGUAAUAUCAGGAUUUUUUAUUGUUGUUGCUUCUAUUUACGUUUAUGUUCAUGGUUGUUGGUGUAUGGCGUUCACCUUUUACCUGGAUGCCAGACCAAAUAAGAUCUCAAUUCAGUUUCUUUAUUUCGAUGUUCAUCUCGUGUAUCAUGAAAAAACUUCACCACUAAAGAGAGCAGAGCUAUUAUCUUGACAAUAGAAGCUAGAUAAAUUAAUCCAUGAGCAUUUUCAUGCAUAUUAUUUAAUAUAUUUUUAGUUGUGCUAAUUUAAUAACAGUACUAUUUAUAGUGCUGAUUUGGAGAUAUGUGCAAUGCACUUUCAGCAGUCAACAGUUCACCUACCUGUGUAUUGUAUGCAUUAACUAGAUUAAUUAAUGACGAAGGAAGGAUUUAUUCAAGUCAAGUUACUAAAUAUUUAUGAUGGUAUCUUUUUCCCUGAACUUCUUAUCCAGGAUCAGCUCGGAGUUGAAUACUUAACUGGUUCAGGAAAGCUUCAAAUACAAUAGUGGCAAACAUCUCCAUUGAUGCUACAAAGCAUCUCGAUGAUUUUGAAGCGAGUCUUCAUGUUAAUUACAUUACUUUUUGUAUCAUGCCCUAUUGAUCGAAAAGUUACUUAGCCCUAAUCAUCCAUGCUUAAUAAUGAGGAUCGUUUUGGGAUUUUGUUUAGCUUUCCAACACUUCCAUAGUUUAUUAGUACAGAGCUAGAUCUCUCACUGUGCUGAUCACACGUAAUGAAGUCAUUUUACUUGGCUUUCUAGCAACGGGUCAGCAAGUGGGUCAUGAUGAACCAAAUUAUGUUCUCUCUCUUGCAUAUAGAUGCUCACGAUUAUACUGAUCUGAUCAAUUGUAGGUUCCAUAGGAACACUGAACUUGAUUUUGUUGCCUCCUCGUAGCAGGGCCAGGGAAGCAGUGUCAAGUGGAUCCUGGAAGAGCACUGGUGUGGGAUCCGCUGCUGCCAGGUAUGCUUUUCUUCCUUCCCGUCCUCUCGAUCCACUUCCUCUCUUUGUUUCUGAAUUUUGCACUCAAAUUGUGAGGUGAGGCUCAAAAAAUACAGUGGUUACCGACGGCGGCGACGACCACGAAGAUUGUCCCAGCAUCUGGAACAGUGGAUGCAUUGAGCUCGAGAUGACGAUUAGCCACUCCAUCCAUGAUCACUGUUUUCCCCCUUCUUUUUGUGGAGAUGAUUUCGCUACUCUUUAUCAAUGCUGUAAUAACCAAGGUGCAUGUGUGACUCGUUCAA